UCCUAUGAGGGAUGGUUGUUUUCUAGUAGGGGAUGUCUCAGUAAUCAUCAAUACCGCAGAAAUCCCCCACUUCCAAACAAACAAUCCUCCUGGCUGAGCCAUGCCUCCGCUUUUGGGAACUUCUCUGCUUUUCAGAGAGCCUGUGUAUCCUCCCAGGUUCCCUGAUAUUGGAAACACAGCUCUCCCAACCGUUAAGGACUUCAACUGUUUAUGACCUGCUGUCGUCAGCUCGAACUCAAAAGAUGACCUGGGAGAAGUUGACUUGAGAAGGGAGUGAGGAGCCAGAAGAGUGGUGGACACGGCCGUGUUCAGAAAGGCACACAUUACUGGCCUAGACUUUUAAACAUGCAAGUAAUUUCAUUUGUAUAAUUGCUCUAUUGAUUUCUAUGUGUUUGCUGAUCAAAAAAGAAGAAUUACUUUCCUGAACAUAAGAUAGAAAAAUGAGCUCUUAGCAUCUAUUUCACAGAGUGAUCAGAUGCACCUUCUAGUUAGGAGGAUCUUAAACCACUGACUGCUGAAAGCCAGGAGCAUGUAUCCAGAGGAGGGUCAUUCUGUUUCUUCACUUUUCUGAAGUGUCUCUUACUAACUGUGGGUGAGAGCAAGGCACUAGUGUUGCAUGGGCUGUGGGUCUGAGCUGGUGUAGCCAUUCCUAGGUUAAUCUCUUAAAGAAGUGGACAACUGGCCAGAUCCUCAGUUAGUAAAAUUCUAUAUAUUUACAGUAAAGAAAUUAAAGCACUUUACAUAAAUUGAGUUUCUAUCCUAGUGUCUUGGAUUUCUUUGAAAGUAGCAACUAUGUAUAGGGACUUACAGAAUUUAAUUCUAGUCUUUAGGAAUGACUUCCAUAAAAGAGUAUCAUCUUCUCAGUCCGUAGCUUUGAAAACUGCUCAUCAGCAAGGAAAGUAAAUUAUCAAAACUAUAUUAAUUAACAUAUCCCAUGUAUGCUUUUGGCUAUCAGAGUUCAUCUGUCUAAAUCGGUAAUUACAUAUUGUUAUCCAUUUACAGAUUAAAAGGUUAUCCCUGCUUUGGGCUUUUCAGGUUGUUUUAUUGGAGCAUAGAUUUGAUUUUGCUGUUAAAUUUUAGAGGCUGAAGUAAUGUCUAUUUUUCUUUCCCCCUGAGAAACAUUGAAAUAUUUCUUGCUUGCAGUUUCAACUCCCUCUUGCACUUUGUACUAAGGACUUGGUGAAUCUAUUUUGAACAAUUCUGUAUGGGGCCUAGAUGCUGGAUGUGCUCCUGUUAUUUCAUUUAUCUUGUUCUCUGAAGUAAUUGAAUGUCCUCUUGCUUGUAUACUUAGUGAAGUAUGGCUGCUAUUACCCUUAGUAACACUGGAGUUUCCUUAUUCAUUAGCAUGACUUUAUGUACAAGGUGUCAAUUAUUUUUUGCACUGAAUGGAUGAAAUGGUCAUCAGUCAGUCACUGUGUAAGUCAAGUUUGUAUCCUAAUGCAUAUUCAAAAGUGCUCAAAUAAAGACAUUUCACGUUCCCCAA